UAACCCAACAUCUGGCACAUGAUGAGGGAGAAAGCAGUCGGCAAGCAGAGGAGUUAGACCCAUCUGGUGACAGUGUGAGUACAUAUGUAGGGAGGCAGGUACGGCAAGAAGUGAUCCUGCGCUAUUUUUCAGAUAACUGAGGGGAUCGGGGCUCAUCACUCUGCGAACUCGCCAAUAGUGCCAGUGGUGGCUGGGGUGACACUGCCGAAAGUCGUCGCCUGGGUGGGGAUGAUGGAGCCGCAGAUUCCGAGCCAAGACGCCGUGUCUUACUUGGCCUCCUGGAAUAUGUGACUACACUGAAGUCUUACCUGCAAUCCCAGCCUCAUCCUGACUUGUCUGAGGCCUGUCUGGCCGGCUGGUCUGUGGGACUGUUGAAAAAGUGUACCAAACAUU